UAGAACAGAACAGAAUAGAAUAGAAUAGAAUAGAACAGAAUAGAACAGAACAGAACAUAAUAGAACAGAACAGAACAGAACAGAACAGAAUAGAAUAGAAUGUAGACGUGGAGGAGGAUGGGAGGAGUUACUUGAAAUAUGAUGAGCCUAAAAACACUAUAUUAUAAGAAAAUGACCUGUUAUUGUGUAUGAUGGAGAAGCUGUUCAUUUCCUAACCCUCCAGUGCUCAUCUCCUGUGAACAUGUGAAAACAGGAGGAGAGCUGAGAUGAAAGAGGAGCAGGAGAGUUUGACUGUGGACGCCAGAGGAGUGAAGAUGGAGAGGAAGAGGAUGAAGAGGAGCACAAUUAAAGACAGCGUCCUCCAAUAUGGAAAAGAAAAGACGAGAAGCAAAGUCAAAGCAGAGUUUAAGACGAGAGGAAAACAAACAUUACACACGAGUUGACUUCCCAUCGCCUGAACAUCUCGAUGAAGGACGAGUCUACGAACCAGAGCGUGCAGACUGGAGGCUGAUGGCAAAUUCAUGAAACUUUAUUUGGAAAUUCUAUUGUGGAUGAAUCCAAAAAAAAGAAUAGCAAAUGUGCUUUGUAGAAAAUAUACACACAUGUGCAAUAAAUGCAUCAAGUUGUGAGUAAACAGUAAACAUUUAGGAUUAAAAACAACACCCACAAAGCUUUGAGGACUAUUUAAUGAAAGCAAAGAUAGCGGAGAAAAACACAGGUGUCAUUUUUAGUAGCGAUUCGGGAGGCUAUCAUCACUGGAACUAAGAAGUCUAGAUCUAGACUCUAAAGAAACAGUCACAGCCAAGAGACUAAACUCAAAACCUCUAAACACGCCACAAAUAAAGAGCCACUUGUGGGGGAAUCUAAAGAGGAAAUCAGGGUUCAACAGGUUAAUGACACGGUUUUCACUUAUGUGUCUGUCUCACGCACAUUCACACAACGAGUGAGUCAGAAACUUAUUUCUGCACACGCACACACACACACACACACACACAGGUUUCCUGUCAUUAGGCAGCAGAGCCGUUCUAUAAUUAGAACAUCUGGACCCAAGUGAGUUUGGUGCCAGUGGCCUCACACACAAACACAGAGAGGGACACACACACACACACACACAAAUGAAAACACACAGACUCACACUUUUCCAUAACUACACACACACACACACACACACAACAGAAACUGUACAUACUUUAUAUCUCCACUUUUUUGCUUGUUUUUCUGCUAUUUUGUACAAAAGAAAAAGCACAUUAAAGCAAGUAAGUAAACAACAGCUUG
ensembl:lncRNA